GAGCGAGGGAGGCGCGUCGGGCUGGGAAGUCGCGCGCACACACUGCUCCGGGGACAGACGUUUAACUCUUGCCAAGUCUCGCCGCCGCCGCGGCUCGCGGGCCUUGGGCUUCCCCGGAAGCAUGAGCCCUCUCGCCCGCAGCCGCCGGCGCUGCGUGGGCCGCGGACCGUGCGCGCCGGGGCCCCGGGCGCGCAGCCUCAGGAUCCCCAGCGCCCGCAGCUCGGGCGCCCGCGGCAGGCGAUCUCUGGGUGACCACGUCUGCGAGGGACUUUGCUAUCCGUCUGCCAGGACCUGGGGAGAAAGAACCGGCAGCUCCCUAUCCCUUCCCCCUCUGCCAGCAUUUUGGGCACCCCGCAGGGACUCAUUUUGGGGUUCCCACUGACUUCCAGGAAGGACGGGAGUCCUUCUGUGACCCCAUCUCGGGCCGCCACCUGUCUUUGCCGCAGUGACCCUUCUCCCAUGACCCUGCGGUGCCUUGAGUCCUCCGGGAAUGGCGCGGACGGCACGCGGAGCCAGUGGGGGACCGCGGGGUCAGCAGAGGAGCCCUCCCCGGAGGCGGCGCGUCUGGCGAAGGCCCUGCGGGAGCUCGGGCAAACAGGAUGGUACUGGGGAAGUAUGACUGUUAAUGAAGCCAAAGAGAAAUUAAAAGAGGCACCAGAAGGAACUUUCUUGAUUAGAGAUAGCUCGCACUCAGACUACCUACUAACAAUAUCUGUUAAAACAUCAGCCGGACCAACUAAUCUGCGGAUUGAAUAUCAAGAUGGGAAAUUCAGAUUGGACUCUAUCAUAUGUGUCAAGUCCAAGCUUAAACAAUUUGACAGUGUGGUUCAUCUGAUCGACUACUAUGUUCAGAUGUGCAAGGAUAAGCGGACUGGCCCAGAAGCCCCCCGGAAUGGCACUGUUCACCUUUACCUGACCAAACCGCUCUACACGUCAGCGCCACCUCUGCAGCAUCUCUGUAGACUCACCAUUAACAAAUGCACCGGCACCAUCUGGGGAUUGCCUUUACCAACAAGACUAAAAGAUUACUUGGAAGAAUAUAAAUUCCAGGGCUUUCUGUAAGUUCUUCGUGUCAGACUGUGGAGUGCGUUCCAAUGUCAAGCACAACAUGCAGGCCUCUGUAGAGAGAAGAUUCCUACCCUUUCUGCUUUGAUCAGAUUUUCUUUCUGAAUUCCAACCAGAACCUCUGCAAAACUGUGAAGAAAAUGAAGUGCCUAGUGUGCCUGGACUUUUUUCUCUGCACCCUUCAUUUCAUUUCUACGUACCUUUUCUCCUAAGAGAUGGUGGCUUCAUGCUGUCAUUCUGUCUUCCUCAAGACUGGUGAUCUUGGAAAUACAAGAUGAUGGAGAUAUGAAAUGGAAGGGACCUGGAUCCCUGAGUCACCACUUGGAGAGCACUCACAGGAGAGCAGUCCAACCAAGAUCAUUAGCUUUGAAUUUUGUAUAAGCAAGAAAUAAACUUGUGUUAAGUCACUUCGAUUUGAGGUUGUUUCUCACAGUAGGUAGCCUACCUUCAUACACUGUAUCUUGAACCUGCUUCUCCCCACCCCCGCCAUCAUUUAUCUCUUGCAUUUCUUCUUUCUCCACCUUCUUAUCACUAUGAUGGCGGAAAAAGGCCACCAGCAACAGUAGCCAAGGUGACCUCUCUUCCAUUCAAGGGAACAGCCUGAUUGCAGAGGGCAAUUCCACAGAAAAAUGGUGCUUGGCAGCCCCAAACCUACUGACCGCAGUGUUCCAUGCUUGAGGCGGCCAUUUUCAAAAAGAAUCAGGAGGGGCACUGUCAGAGAACGACUGCCAUAACCUGCCUUCUUGCAGCCAAUGGAAAUGGGGCAUGCAAAUGAGCAGGACAGGAGUGAGGCCCAGGGAUUGGCCGAGCUGCUGCGCACGGGGAGGGCCUCCACAAAGAGGGCAGGGCCUCCUUCCAGGGGCUGCCCUUAAAGUGGGAGCAGGUUCGCACCCUGGACCUUGCCCAGGGGUGAAAGUCCCCCCUGGGCUCUGGAGGACUCACUGCCAAGAAAGAAAGGGAAAAAGGAACAUGGGGAGAGCGAAGACAUAUUUUUCUUCUUAAAUACCCCCAAAAGAAUGAAUCUCUAAGGACGGCUUUGCAGUCAUCAAGCAAUAAUUUCUGUUUUGGAGCUGGGUAGCUUUUCCCAGUUGCCCCCAAAUGAUACAGCUUUAAUGCGACAAUAUCGCCCCUCUUGUGUUGGUUGGGAGCCACAGGGUUAGGGCUGCAAGUACUGGCCAUGCGAGACACAACAGAGCCACACCAGGCGCAACAACUGUGCUAUUAUCUGCUGUAGGUAAGGGGUGAGAAUCAUCAUCUCAAGUGUUGGUACUUAAGAGUGUGAUGCAGGAAAGUCAAUCAAGUGACCUCGGUAUGCUGCCGCGAGAUAUGGGAGACAAAAAUAGGAGUUUGAGUCUCCCCAAAGCAAGACGCUCCCAGUAUGCUCUCCUUUAGCUAGCAGAUAAUCCUGUCUGACGUUAGGCCUCAGCUCCAGCACAUCUUGUGGGAAUAGCCCACUGACACUUAGGAUUGGGCUACCUCUCCUUUGUGCUCUAUUAUAACACCUACAUGGGCUUUGGUUUAUUAAAAUAACAUUUUUCUACUUUAAUUGCAAACAUUAAAAUGUUACUGCUACAAACUUUGGGAAGUCCAAAUAAGUUCCAAAGAGAACAUAAAAAUCUUCCCAUUAUUCCACUAUCUGGGGGAAUGUAUGCACACAUACCCACUUCUAAAAAUUGUUGACUUUGUACUUGCUUUUCUCUCUUAACAAUAUGUCAUGUAGAAUUUCUCAUUUACUUACAAUAUGAUUUUUAAUGAAUAUGUAGUAGCUUAUGGAUUCUCAUAAUUUAUUUAACCAAAUGUUUGUUGUUGGACAUUUAUGAUUGUUUCUAAUUUUUCAUUGUAGUAAAUGAAUUCCGUUCAAGUCUGCCCCAUUCAAGAGAAUAGCCUGAUUGCAACUAAGCAGAUUCGUAUGUAAAUCUUUGCAUACUUCUCUGGUUAUUUCUUUUAGAUAAAGAUCUAGAAAUAGAGUUGCUGGAUCAGGAAGUAUACAAACAAGAUCCAGAGGCAAGAAAGCAGAGAGAUUUGCUAUCUUGGGUCCCUUUCUAAGAAAGAAGAAAAUCUUCCCAGGCAUACACUGCCCUCCCCACCCAACCUGACCUAGCAGGUUUCCCGAAUGUCUCAUGGACAAAAUUACAUCACAUGCAUAUGCAGAAACCAGGUGCUGACAAGGCUAGUGAAACUAUGUGAUUGGCUUAAACCACCUAGAUGUGUCCUUAGGAUUCAAUACUUAAGACAAUUGUUGUUGUUGUUAGUAAGGAAGAUUUGGGAGUAGCUGUUGUAUAGGAACCAAGUCCCUUCCAUACUAUUAAUAGCUAUAGGAAAUUAAAAUGUUUAAAAGCCUUUUCUAAUUUGAUAGGUGCCAGAGAGCUCUUCAUUGUCAUCUUUCUUUAUAUUUUUUGAAUUACUGGUAGGUGUGAAUAAUUUUUCAA